GACCGUCAGUGAAAAUCGAUUUUCACUGGCGGUUUUAUUACGCCGACCGCCAGUGAAAAUCGAUUUUCACUGGCGGUC
rnacentral:pre_miRNA from 7 species